UACGGAGGGAGCUAGCGUUGUUCGGAAUUACCGGGCGUAAAGCGCACGUAGGCGGCGAUUCAAGUCAGAGGUGAAAGCCCGGGGCUCAACCCCGGAACUGCCUUUGAAACUAGAUUGCUAGAAUCCUGGAGAGGUUAGUGGAAUUCCGAGUGUAGAGGUGAAAUUCGUAGAUAUUCGGAAGAACACCAGUGGCGAAGGCGACUAACUGGACAGGUAUUGACGCUGAGGUGCGAAAGCGUGGGGAGCAAACAGG
rnacentral:rRNA from 1 species